UACCUGGUUGAUCCUGGCCAGUAGCAUAUGCUUGUCCAAAGAUUAAGCCAUGCAUGCUAAUACACACGGGCGUACAGUGAAACUGCGAUGCUCAUUAAAUCAGUUUAUGGUUCCUUUGGUCGCCCCACCCCCGUUACUGAUAACUGUGGUAAUCUAGAGCUAAUACAUGCCGACGAGCGCCGACCUCCGGGGACGCGUGCAUUUAUCAGACCAAACCCAACCCCGGCUCGCCGUCGGGCAUUUUGGUGACUCAGUAACCUCGAGCCGAUCGCACGCUCCCCGUGGCGGCGACGACCCAUUCGAAUGUCUGCCCUAUCAACUUUCGAAUGGUACUGUCUGUGCCUACCAUGGUGACCACGGUAAACGGGGAAUCAGGGUUCGAUUCCGGAGAGGGACCUGAGAAACGGGCUACCACAUCCAAGGAAGGCAGCAGGCGCGCAAAUUACCCCAACUCCCACCCGGGGAGGUAGUGACGAAAAAUAACAUACAGGACUCUUUCGAGCCCGUAAUUGGAAUGAGUCCACUUAUAAAUUCCUUUAACGAGGAUCCAUUGGAGGGCCAAGUUCUGGUGCCAGCAGCCGCGGUAAUUGCCAGCUCCAAAUAGCAGUAUGAUUAAAGUUGCUGCAGUUAAAAAGCUCGUAGUUGGAUCUUGGAUCGAGCUGGCGGUCCGCACGCGAGGCGAGCUACGCGCUGUCCCAGCCCUGUCUCUCGGCUCCCCCUCGAUGCUCUUAACUGAGUGUCCCGGGGCCCGAACGCGUUUUAAACAAUACUCCAGCUGGAAAAUACUAGAUGGUAGAUGGUUGGUUUCGAACCAUGAUAAGAGGACGGCCCAUCGUAUGGCUAGAGUGAAAUCUUGACCGGCGCAAACACUAAAGCGAAACAUUAAGAAUGUUUCAUUAUCAGACGAAAGCGAGUCGAAGACGAUAUAGUUGCGAUAAACGAUCCGACGCGGCGUAUAGGGCACCUCCGGAAAAUCUUGUUCGAGUAUGCGCUGAACUAAAGAAUUGACGAAGCACCAUAUUGACCUCCUCGGUAAACUUCACCCGGCCGGACACGGACAGAUUGACAGAUUGAGAGCUCUUUCUCGAUUCCGUGGUGGUGUGCAUGGCCGUUCUUAGUUGGUGAGCGAUUUGUCUGGUUAAUUCCGAUAACGAACGAGACUCUGGCAUGCUAACUAGUUACGCGACCCCCGAGCGGUCGGCGUCCAACUUCUUAGAGGGACAAGUGGCGUUCAGCCACCCGAGAUUGAGCAAUAACAGGUCUGUGAUGCCCUUAGAUGUCCGGGGCUGCACGCGCGCGCUACACUGACUGGCUCAGCUUGUGUCACCCCCUACGCCGGCAGCGCGGGGUAACCCGUUGAACCCCAUUCGUGAUGGGGAUCGGGAUUGCAAUUAUUCCCCAUGAACGAGGAAUUCCAGUAAGUGCGGGUCAUAAGCUCGCGUUGAUUAAGUCCCUGCCCUUUGUACACACCGCCCGUCGCUACUACCGAUUGGUUUAGUGAGGUCCUCGAUCGGCCCCGGCGGGGUCGCCACGGCCCUGCCGGAGCGUCGAGAAGACGGUCGAACUUGACUAUCUAGAGGAAGUAAAAGUCGUAACAAGGUUCGUAGGUGAACCUGCGAAGGAUCAUUA
rfam:Gallus gallus breed Red Jungle fowl, inbred line TCD001 Contig3860.1, whole genome shotgun sequence. [11-NOV-2016]